AGUGGGAGGCAAGGAGUGCCUGCAGGCUGUGCUGACGAAGGCUGCUAUCCUUACUGCGCCAGGAUCUUCGGCACGCGUCGCUUCCCUGGGUGAUGCAGCCAGCUGGACCUCGUUAUUUCACAGGUAAAGACUGGGAAAAACAAUAUGGAGGACACCACUUAUCCACUUAUCCAGUCCUGCAGAAGAAGGCCUGCCUUUUUCUCUGUUCGAGACCCAUACGACUUGUAUGUCACAUUUCAAUAUCCACAGCCCUGGCUUCUUGGCUGUUUCUGCUUCUUGGCUGUGCUUCUGUUCUCUCCAAAUAAAUCAGCAUCAAGCAUUGCCACUCCUUCCAUCAUACUGUAACUUGUCACCUCCCAG